rnacentral:rRNA from 1 species
GAUCAGUUGGAACCCACAUCCAAGAUGCUCGGUGCAGAUUGCGAAUUGAAGCGAGAUUGGCGGAUCGUACUUAAUCAUCAGUUCAUC